GCUCCGAUAGUGUAGUCGGCCAAUCAUUCUGGCCUUUCAAGCCAGUGACUCGGGUUCAAAUCCCGAUCGGAGCA
rnacentral:tRNA from 2 species